rnacentral:lncRNA from 1 species
CGGCGUUUUGCAUUUGCGCCGAUUUUUUCUUUCAUUUGCGCCGAUUUUUUUUUUUCAUUUGCGCCGAUUUUUUUUACAGGUAAAUUACAGGUGAAUAGAUAUUAGAAGAAGUGGUAUGAGUGCCAAUGAAUGAACUCUCAAUCCAAGUCAUGUUCUUUUUCAUUUAUCAUUAUAGACCUCCUCAGUUAGCCACUUGUACAAAUUUAAUGAAUUAUCAAUCAUAACUUGUAUAUAACUGUUGUCC